rnacentral:rRNA from 1 species
UACAGAGGUGGCAAGCGUUGUUCGGAAUUACUGGGCGUAAAGGGCGCGUAGGCGGCCUUAUAAGUCUCGUGUGAAAGCCCUCGGCUUAACUGAGGAUCUGCACGGGAUACUGUAGGGCUCGAGUUCGGGAGAGGAAAGCGGAAUUCCGGGUGUAGCGGUGAAAUGCGUAGAUAUCCGGAGGAACACCAGUGGCGAAAGCGGACUUCUGGGUUGUUACUGACGCUGAGGUACGAAAGCGUGGGGAGCAAACGGG